CCACACGUGGUUCAUUCAUACCAUCCCACGUAAAAAAACUAAGGAGGA
rnacentral:ncRNA from 21 species